GUAGGAGGCGAGCGUUAUCCGGAUUUACUGGGCGUAAAGAGGGCGUAGGCGGUUCUUCAAGUCGGAUGUAAAAUCUCCCGGCUUAACUGGGAGGGACCAUUCGAUACUGUCGGGCUAGAGGGCAGCAGAGGGAGGUAGAAUUCCCGGUGUAGUGGUGAUAUGCGUAGAUAUCGGGAGGAAUACCAGUGGCGAAGGCGGCCUCCUGGGCUGUUUCUGACGUUGAGGCCCAAAAGCGUGGGGAGCAAACAGGAUUAGAUACCCUGGGUAGUCCACGCUGUAAACUAUGGACACUAGGUAUAGGGAGUAUCGACCCCUCUCUGUGCCGAAGCUAACGCAUUAAGUGUCCCGCCUGGGGACUACGGCCGCAAGGCUA
rnacentral:rRNA from 1 species